GGAAGGGUUCCCGAGUGGCCAAAGGGGGCAGACUGUAAAUCUGUUAGCUACGCUUUCGAAGGUUCGAAUCCUUCUCCUUCCA
rnacentral:tRNA from 3 species